rnacentral:rRNA from 1 species
AGCACACCAGUGAGAGGUGACUCUCGGUCUGUAACUGACGAUGAGGAGGAAAGCGCGGGAGGAACUGAUCAGAUACCUUGUAGUCCACCCGUACAGUUGAGUGCUAAGGUUAGGGGCCUCCGCCCCUUAGCGCUGCAGUUACGCAUUAAGCACUCCGCUGGGGAGUACGGUCGCAAGAUGAAAUCAAAGGAAGUGACGGGGCCCGCACAAGCGGUGGCGCAUGUGGUUUAAUUAGAAGCAACGCGAAGAACCUUACCAGGUGUUGACAUCCUGUGACAACCCUAGAGAUAGGGCUUUCCCUUCGGGGACAGAGCGACAGGUGGUGCAUGGUUGUCGUCAGCUCGUGUCGUGAGAUGUUGGUUAAGUCCCGCAACGAGCGCAACCCUUGAUCUUAGUUGCCAGCAUUCAGUUGGGCACUCUAAGGUGACUGCCGGUGACAAACCGGAGGAAGGUGGGGAUGACGUCAAAUCAUCAUGCCCCUUAUGACCUGGGCUACACACGUGCUACAAUGGACAGAACAAAGGGCUGCGAGACCGCAAGGUUUAGCCAAUCCCACAAAUCUGUUCUCAGUUCGGAUCGCAGUCUGCAACUCGACUGCGUGAAGCUGGAAUCGCUAGUAAUCGCGGAUCAGCAUGCCGCGGUGAAUACGUUCCCGGGCCUUGUACACACCGCCCGUCACACCACGAGAGUUUGCAACACCCGAAGUCGGUGAGGUAACCUUUAUGGAGCCAGCCGCUGAUCGUGCCCCGG